rnacentral:rRNA from 1 species
CACGUAGGGGGCAAGCGUUGUCCGGAUUAUUGGGCGUAAAGAGCUCGUAGGCGGCUCUGUAAGUCGGGUGUGAAACCUCCAGGCUCAACCUGGAGACGCCACCCGAUACUGCUGUGGCUUGAGUCCGGUAGGGGAGCGUGGAAUUCCUGGUGUGAGCGGUGAAAUGCGCAGAUAUCAGGAGGAACACCAGCGGCGAAGGCGGCGCUCUGGGCCGGAACUGACGCUGAGGAGCGAAAGCGUGGGUAGCAAACAGG